AGCGAAGCGACGACUGUAGGUUCUUGCGAAGCACUGUUUCCACAUCGAUUCCUGAGUCUUAGGAGGGAAUGCUGACAUCAAAUAUGGAAAGAACAAAGCUUAACCCUUGCUAUUGNUUCUCAAAUUCACGAAGCCCACAAUUUUCAUAAAUACUAUCAGCAGGCUCACAACUCACUAAGUCACAGACAACCUCACAGUAAAUGCUCAUAAAAACAUAAAUUCAUAAAUCAUAAUUGACUAUUUUAACUGAUAACUCAUCAUUUUAUAAAUAAUAAAUCAAUAAACCAAAUAGACGAACAAAAACAGAAAAUAAUAAUAAUAAUAAUUGAAGAGAGACAAGAGGUUCACCGCUCAUGUCCCGCUAUCACGAGUGGAAUCAGUUACCGGCGAUGCAGUGGUGUAGCGCUGCAGUGGCCGAUGGCUCAACUUCAACAACUCCACAGUGGCUUAGCAUGCGUGCUAGCAGCAGAGAAUUGGAUUUGGAAUUUGGAAUUGGAUGGAAUUGCUUAAUUAUGGAUUUUAAGUGCCGAGUGCAUCUGCGUGAUUUGUGAAUUGAAUACAACCAGCAAGUCAAGCGGGUUUUGCAUCUUCAAUCCAUUGGAUUGAGUAAUUGGGUCUAUUUUUAUUUUUAUUUUUAAUAAGAGGCCCAAAAGAAAAGGCGCACCAAAAAAAAAAAAAAAAGAGAGAGGCCCAAAUCACUUUUAUUCAUCUUCAAAUUCAUUCAUUCUUCUGGGCGGCUGCACCUGCAUUUCAACCUUCAAGCUUUGUCCAUAGCGAAGCGACGACUGUAGGUUCUUGCGAAGCACUGUUUCCACAUCCAUUCCUGAGUCUUAGGAGGGAAUGCUGACAUCAAAUAUGGAAAGAACAAAGCUUAACCCUUGCUAUUGCUAUAAAAUAAAUUAGGGUUAAGCUUUGUUCUUCCCAGAUCCAAUGUCGGCAUUACCUCCAAAGUCUUCGGGAGAGGUGGUGUGGCAAACAACCGCCUCCAUCAAUUCUUUCUGGUCGUGGCACUUGAGUAGUUUUAGAAGGAACCAUUUUCUUAUCUCCAUCAUCAAUGUUUUUCAUGUAGUAGAGAGGUUUUUGGAAGCACGAAAACUCUGCCAAAGUCUCUUGUAUUCUCAUGGUGGUGGGAGGAAAAAUUUAUAGUGAAGAAUUUACAGAAUGAUUGGUAGUUGC
rnacentral:lncRNA from 1 species